UACAGCUGAGUAGACUAAUAGGUUAACUAUGUCUCAUUACAUUUAUUACUUUUGUAUUCAAUUAAAACACCUCAGUCUGGCACAGAUUUUCAUGUUGAUGGUAGCAGGUAACAACCAUGCACCUAAAAAACAGGUUGCUGACACAUCUACCCUGGAAACAGAGAUGUGGUGUCAUCCCUUUUAGAGGCAGCUUAGGGUGCCUGCUAUUGCAUUUGGAACCUGGAUUUCACUCCUGCUCUGUCAUAUGGCUUUCUGACUGCUGAUUCUGAAAGAAACUAUUAUUUUCACUUUUAUGAUCAAUUUAAAGAAAAUCAACUUCAUCAGAUCCCUCUUAUUUUUGGAAAUAUUGACUUAAGGCCAUCUCCUAUGACUAAUAAUUUGAAAGGAUUUAUAUCUAGAAAGCAGCACUGGUUAUGAAAUAUAUUUUAGAGUGAACAUGCUCCAAUGAGCAGAGCCCUCUGGAAGCAAUGUCUCAAUCCCACUCUGAGCUACCUGCACAUGCUAGCUUGGGGAACAUCUCUACUUCUCCUGGCUGGAGAGGCUGUACCUGAGCUGAACUUUCCACAGGAUUGAAGAAAGGAUUAUAAUUCCAUGGACUCCAAGUUCUUUAAUGCUGGACAGAGGUUUUUUUCUAAGCCAUCUCCU